GCUGACUAAGGGAUUAUGCAUGUUCCGGGUUCCAAAUGAGAAGAUCUAAGGAGAGAUUGCUUUGAAAUCCUUUCCCAGGAAUUAGUUUGAGAUUAGAAGUAUUUAUCCUUGGUCUGGCUUCAAAAUACUCUCUAUGUUGCUAUCACACCCCUGUGGCAGACACUGUUAACUGCCCACUGAAUAUCUGUGAUCUCCUUUCCUGCUAACAGAACUGUGGGUUUUUAUGCAGCAGUGAUUACCCCAAGCCAUGCAAUGGAUCCUAAUUGGUCAAAGGCUAAGCCAGUCAGGAAGAUCCUGUUCCUCUCUUCCCAAUGCCCCUUGCAGGUAGAGAUUCCAUGUGAAGCGGUCUGGCAAGACGUAUAAGGGGAAGUUGGCCGGAGGAUGUCUGGGAAAGCUUCUGAUUGCCCAAUAAAUAGUACACAUCCUCUCUCCCCAUUCUUCUCCACUUCUAUCUGCUUUGAAGGAGGAUCUGAUGCUUAGACCAGCAGGAACCACCUUGUAAACAUCUGCUUCCCGAAUGCUUGUUAAGUGAGAAAAAAACGAAGAGGAUAGAAGAAAAAUAGAACUCACAUCGAGUGUCGUGAGGACAAGAGUUUCAGAGCCACUGCUAAGGAGUAUAACCUUUAGAGGGGAGGCAGAUAAUGAAGAAGAAAGUACUGCAUGUUGAUAAAUGCCCUGACAGAAGAACCAAGACACUCGUGGCAUUGCCCAAGCCGGAGGUUUUCAGAUGGGGCCUUGCAGCUCCAGAGCAGGUUCAGGGCCUCACAGAUUGUGAGUGCAACCUGGCUCGUUGCCCACAGCAUUCUACCUGCCGCUCUGGGAAAGGCUGAGCCUAGAUGGAGAAGAAAAGGAAGCUCCAUUUUACAGAACACUGUCCUGUAUGCACGCUCUGAGACAGUCAUGCCAGGCAGAGGGCACAAAAUAUUUCAAUAAAUAACUAUCAAAGGUGAGUGGUGAAAAUGAAAGAGGGGGAGGUGUAUGAAAAACUAAACAUGCAAACAUUACAAAGAAAGCAAACCAAAUGUAGAUUCACUGGGAAUGAAUAAAGUGAAAGACAGUUAGUCA
rnacentral:lncRNA from 1 species